AUUUGUAUGAACAUAACAAGAUUCAACAACUGAGACAUAAACUGAACAAGUUCCACAGACAUGUGACUAACAGAAAUGGAAUAAUGUGUCCCAGAACAAAGUGGGGACAGGGAUGCUCCAUAGUACUUCACUGGUCUGCGGAGUCCAGGGGUUUCGUUGUAGCACAAAGCUAUGGUAGAGGCCUCCAGAGUGUAGUAGUUUGUGUAAUUACUUUCGCCUUUUAUUCUGGGGGGCAAGUCCAAUGCAUUCAGGAAAUGUAGAAGAAAGCUUUUUAUUCCCUCUUCCUCUUCACAUCGACAAAUCCUGACAGCCUGAAAAACAAAGAAGUGAAACAUGCAAUAUUCAACAAAUUAUAAGCUACAUGGACAAUACAUGUUUUAUAUGUGUUUUAUUGUCAUUGUUUAGUGUUAAUUUUGUUGAUGUGGAAAUUGGUCGAGGACAAAAGCUUCAGGUUAAAUACAUUCCAUUUACACACUUACCAAAGUCAGAAGAUUGGAAAAUGGAGUCUGGUGGGGUGGAUACUUGUAAUUGUGGAAUGCCUGUGGAAAUCUUCUUUCUAAAUCGUACAUCACAAGCCUACCCUCACGAGACUCAAAGAAGGCAUUUGGAAGAAGACUGGCCUGAUGAAUGUGACCUAAGAAAAAGAUGCUAUGAAGCAACUUUUAACAAACAUGAAUAAUGAAUAACAUAAUUAACAAACAAUGUAUAACAUAACAAGAUCAAUUAAUAAUUGUUUGUUCUAGAAACAAUUCAUUUGUAACAUGUAUAGUAAACCAAAAAUAUGCUAAAUGUGUGGGAAUGUAUUUUAAGCAUAUGAUUAGUGUAUUUAAUUAGGCGAUGUGUACCAUAUUCACGUAAUGUUGUAUUCCGUCAACUCCCAUCCUCAGGCGACUCCUCCAAAGCCUUACAACCUGUCUAAUAAAUGCUGUUCCUGAUGACUUUAAGCUUCCAUCAUUUC
rnacentral:lncRNA from 1 species